rnacentral:rRNA from 1 species
UUGACCUCAAAUCAGGUAGGACUACCCGCUGAACUUAAGCAUAUCAAUAAGCGGAGGAAAAGAAACUAACAAGGAUUCCCCUAGUAACUGCGAGUGAAGCGGGAAAAGCUCAAAUUUAAAAUCUGGCGGUCUUGCGGCCGUCCGAGUUGUAAUCUGGAGAAGCGUUUAUCCGCGUCGGACCGUGUACAAGUCUUCUGGAAGGGAGCGUCGUAGAGGGUGAGAAUCCCGUCUUUGACACGGACAACCGGUGCUUUCGUGAUGCGCUCUCGAGAGUCGAGUUGUUUGGGAAUGCAGCUCAAAUGGGUGGUAAAUUCCAUCUAAAGCUU